rnacentral:lncRNA from 1 species
GCUUUUUAGAAAACUUAAUUUAUAUAGUUUUUAUAUUUGUUACACAAAUAUUAUUUUAUUUAUUUUUCUUUUUUUUCUUUUUUAUGUUUUAAUGUUAAAUUAGGGUGUAGUGCCACUUAACCCAAAACCCUUUUUAAAUAAUUUAGCUGGAAACCGAGUUAUUAUAAAAUUAAAAUGGGGAAUAGAAUAUAAAGGUGAUUUUGCAAAAAAAAAAAAAGAAAAGUAGAAUAUAGUAAUUUUUUUAUGUAUAAUAUUUUUUAUACUCUAUAUAAUACUUAUUUAAAUAUAUUAUUGUAAUUAACACUAUUUUUUUUUUAUAAAUUGUCAUUCGUAGGAAAUUUGAAAUCAUUUGACGCUUAUAUGAAUAUACGGUUAGCAAAUGCUGAGGAAUGGAUUCAUGGUGAAUAUAAAGGAACAUUAGGAGAAAUAUUUUUAAGAUGUAACAACAUUUUAUAUAUAAGAGAAGACAAUGAAACAGAAAAAUCUUAAAAUUUAACAGUAAUUUUAUUUUUAACAAGUCCCAGUAAAUUUAUCGAAGUUUUUUUUACAUUUCUUUUUCUUUUAUUAUAUAUAUAAACAUUUUUUUUAAUUCAUUUUUAAUGCUGUACAUGAAUAUCAUAAGUUAUCCCUUAAAUUAAAACCCUUCUGUUUUUAAAUGACUUUCUAAAUUAUAUAGUAUAUUAUUAUUAUUUUUUCUUUUUUUAAAUAUAUAUAUGCAUAAAUCUAAUAUUUUAGUAAACUAAUUUUUUUCAUGUAUUUAUAAAUUUUAAUGUUACUUUUUUUUUUUUUAUAUUGUAUAUAGAUAUAUAUGUAUAAGUUAUCAUAAUUAUCUCCUGGAAAAACAAAUAAGUGUGUUAACACUUUUUUUAUACAUAUAUUUGUUUUAUUUUGCAUGAAAUAAUAUAUUCUGGCUUAACACAAUCACAUAUGUAUACAUAUAAAUAGAUGUAAAGUAAUAUUACAUGUAUGUGUUUACUGCAAUGAGGCAUUUUUUUUUUUUUUUUUUUUUUUUUUUUUUUUAAUUAAAGUUAAAUUCCUUUUUUUAAAAAAUUAAUUUUAUAAAAAAAAAAAAAAAAUGAUAUAUAAAAAUUAAAAUUAUCACUAAAAUAAAAUCAUAAAAAGAAAUGUAAAACA